rnacentral:pre_miRNA from 1 species
CUAAUAAUCCCUCCGUCCGGAAAUACUUGUUAUCAAAAUGAAUAAAAAGGGAUGUAUCUAGAUGUAUUUUAGUUCUAGAUACAUCCCUUUUUGUCCAUUUUGAUGACAAGUAUUUUCGGACGGAGGGAGUACUAA